rnacentral:misc_RNA from 1 species
UCCGGUUUGUCACCGGCAGUCUCCUUAGAGUGCCCACCUUAACGUGCUGGUAACUAAGGACAAGGGUUGCGCUCGUUACGGGACUUAACCCAACAUCUCACGACACGAGCUGACGACAGCCAUGCAGCACCUGUGUACACUGGUAUUGCUACCUCGUCAGGCUUUCACCCUUCUACUAUGUACAUGUCAAGGCCAGGUAAGGUUCUUCGCGUUGCAUCGAAUUGAGCCACAUACUCCACCGCUUGUGCAGGCCCCCGUCAAUUUCUUUGAGUUUUAAUCUUGCGACCGUACUCCCCAGGCGGGAUGCUUAAUGCGUUAGCUGCGCCACUGACCGGUAAACCGGCCAACGGCUAGCAUCCAUCGUUUACGGCGUGGACUAC